rnacentral:lncRNA from 1 species
GAAGCACCAGAAAACCAUGCUGCUCCCCCUUUGUGUACCCACAAAGUGCACUGGCCGUAGACAAUGAACUGAAACAUUGGUGUAAUUUUAACAUGGCAAUGAGCAGGGGGGUGGAAUCAGUGCAGUGGAUGCUAAUUCACUUAAAUGCCUACCCUCUUGAUGGAAGAUGGGAAAUGCUUGGCCUAAAAAGAAAAGCCCUGGCGCAAAAAUGUGUGGACAGAAUCUUUUUCCAUUUUUCUGUGUUGGCAAACGUACAUGUCCAAACAUACAUUUUGUCAGCGGUAAAAAGGUGUAUUUCUAUGAGAAGCUUUGGAGGUGGAAUAGCGGCUUUUUUUUAGGCCCAACGAAGAGAAAUAAAUUGUUUCAUCUUCACACUGCAAUUCAUCACUAAGAGGUGUGAAUCUUCUUAGGGCCACAGAUCAGAGAAAAAAUCCACUCCCCACUGAGAGACAACGGAACGAUUUCCUAUCGGUUCCCAAGAUCCAAACGGAGUGAAACUUUUGGAGGGGGAGUUAACCAGGCUGUGACGCUAACACCUGCAUCAGUAUCAGUAACCAUGGAGAUGAUGACUUCCACAGUGAAUUAUCUUCUAUCCAUCGAUAUUAAGGUAGUCUGUACCUGUGGCCAGAGGGAAGGAGCUGGAAUUCGGGGUGGAGUGGAUGGGAUGAGUCAACUGCAGCUUGCAGAGAGGCGUCAACCAAUGAGAAGUCGGCGCCAGGCACGAGGAGGACGGGGCAUUCACAAGCGUUGAAUAAUAAUAAAAAAUGAGUCUCUCUCUGCUGCAUUCCCCUCCGCUAGAGGCUUGUCUAUGCCAUCAGAGAGGUGUAACUCUCUGGAGCAGCUGGCUCCUAUGGUAAACUGCAUCUCAAAGAGCACUGCUAUGAUUUGGUUGAAUAUGAUUUCUCAGAUCAUAGCAUCACAUUCUCUAGGACAUACUUAUUUUCCCCUAAUGUUUUUUAGAAAGAUUAAAAGUGGAUAUGGCACAAUUAAUAAAAUAAAGAACACUUCA